AUGAAUAUCCUAAGUUGGAACUGCCGAGGGGGUGGGAACCCUCGGACAGUUCGAGAUCUUGUGAGUCUAGUGCAGGCUCAUUCCCCUAGUAUCGUCUUUCUUUGUGAAACUAGGCAGACUAAGAAUAAAAUGCAGAGGUACCGUAAUCGGUUAGGUUUGAGAGGUUUUGAUGCUUUUGAUGUGGAUCGCAGUGGUGGUCUCGCUUUGUAUUGGCAUGAG
rnacentral:rRNA from 1 species